ensembl:snRNA U1 U1 spliceosomal RNA
UCACCUACCGGACAGGGCAAUACCAUGAUCAAAAAGGUGGCUCACCCAGGGCGAGGGUCCGCCAUUGCACUUUGGUGGUGCUGACCCUUGAGAAUUCCCCAAAUGCGGGAGUCUUGGCUACAUAAGUGGGGUGC